rnacentral:lncRNA from 1 species
UAUAAAAAUAGUAAUAUAAUAUAUAUAAUAAAUUAAUGUAAGACUAAUAUAAAAAAAAGAAAAACAAUAUAAUAUAUAUAAUAAAUUUAAGUAAGACUAAUGUAUAAUAUAUAUAAAAAAACUAUAAAAGAGAAAAGAAAAAAAAUAGUACAAUAAAAGUGGUAAUAUAUAAUAUGAUGAAGUUGGUGUGUGUGUGCGUGUUAUUGUCGUAUGGGAGAUAAGGGGUUGGUUGUUAGGUUGU